rnacentral:tRNA from 1 species
GCAAGUAUAGUUUCAANCCAAAACAUUAGACCGUGACUCUAAAAAUAGAAGUUAGACCCUUCUUACCUGCC